rnacentral:tRNA from 1 species
GGGGAUAUAGCUCAGUUGGUAGAGUGCUUGCCUUGCAUGUUUAAGGCCCUGGGUUCAAUCCUCAGCACCACCA